rnacentral:rRNA from 1 species
GAAUAUUGGACAAUGGGGGCAACCCUGAUCCAGCCAUGCCGCGUGUGUGAAGAAGGCUUUCGGGUUGUAAAGCACUUUCAGUGAGGAGGAAGGCUCAGAAGUUAAUACCUUUUGGGAUUGACGUUACUCACAGAAGAAGCACCGGCUAACUCCGUGCCAGCAGCCGCGGUAAUACGGAGGGUGCAAGCGUUAAUCGGAAUUACUGGGCGUAAAGCGCGCGUAGGUGGUUUGAUAAGCGAGAUGUGAAAGCCCCGGGCUUAACCUGGGAACGGCAUUUCGAACUGUCAGGCUAGUGUGUGGUAGAGGGUAGUGGAAUUUCCUGUGUAGCGGUGAAAUGCGUAGAUAUAGGAAGGAACACCAGUGGCGAAGGCGACUACCUGGACCAACACUGACACUGAGGUGCGAAAGCGUGGGGAGCAAACAGG